CAGUCGCCGCGGGAAUACGAAGGGGGCUAGCGUUGUUCGGAAUUACUGGGCGUAAAGCGCACGUAGGCGGACAUUUAAGUCAGGGGUGAAAUCCCGGGGCUCAACCCCGGAACUGCCUUUGAUACUGGGUGUCUAGAGUAUGGAAGAGGUGAGUGGAAUUCCGAGUGUAGAGGUGAAAUUCGUAGAUAUUCGGAGGAACACCAGUGGCGAAGGCGGCUCACUGGUCCAUUACUGACGCUGAGGUGCGAAAGCGUGGGGAGCAAACAGGAUUAGAUACCCCCGUAGUCCCUGUCUCUUAUAC
rnacentral:rRNA from 1 species